AUUGAACGCUGGCGGAAUGCUUUACACAUGCAAGUCGAACGGCAGCACGGGAGCUUGCUCCUGGUGGCGAGUGGCGAACGGGUGAGUAAUGCGUCGGAACGUACCGAGUAAUGGGGGAUAACGCAGCGAAAGCUGUGCUAAUACCGCAUACGCCCUGAGGGGGAAAGUGGGGGAUCGCAAGACCUGACGUUAUUCGAGCGGCCGACGUCUGAUUAGCUAGUUGGUGGGGUAAUGGCCUACCAAGGCGACGAUCAGUAGCGGGUCUGAGAGGAUGAUCCGCCACACUGGAACUGAGACACGGUCCAGACUCCUACGGGAGGCAGCAGUGGGGAAUUUUGGACAAUGGGGGCAACCCUGAUCCAGCCAUUCCGCGUGAGUGAAGAAGGCCUUCGGGUUGUAAAGCUCUUUCAGCUGGAACGAAUCGGUACGCUCUAACAUAGCGUGCUAAUGACGGUACCGGCAGAAGAAGCACUGGCUAACUACGUGCCAGCAGCCGCGGUAAUACGUAGGGUGCGAGCGUUAAUCGGAAUUACUGGGCGUAAAGCGUGCGCAGGCGGAUUGUUAAGCAAGAUGUGAAAUCCCCGGGCUUAACCUGGGAAUGGCAUUUUGAACUGGCAGUCUAGAGUGCGUCAGAGGGGGGUGGAAUUCCACGUGUAGCAGUGAAAUGCGUAGAGAUGUGGAGGAACACCAAUGGCGAAGGCAGCCCCCUGGGAUGACACUGACGCUCAUGUACGAAAGCGUGGGUAGCAAACAGGAUUAGAUACCCUGGUAGUCCACGCCCUAAACGAUGUCAACUGGUUGUUGGG
rnacentral:rRNA from 1 species